rnacentral:rRNA from 1 species
UGAGUAACCUGCCCUUAACUCUGGGAUAAGCCUGGGAAACUGGGUCUAAUACCGGAUAUGACUCCUCAUCGCAUGGUGGGGGUGGAAAGCUUUUUGUGGUUUUGGAUGGACUCGCGGCCUAUCAGCUUGUUGAUGAGGUAAUGGCUCACCAAGGCGACGACGGGUAGCCGGCUGAGAGGGUGACCGGCCACACGUGGGACUGAGACACGGCCCAGACUCCGUACGGGAGCAG